rnacentral:rRNA from 1 species
UGCCAGUGAUAAACUGGAGGAAGGUGGGGAUGACGUCAAGUCAUCAUGGCCCUUACGACCAGGGCUACACACGUGCUACAAUGGCAUAUACAAAGAGAAGCGACCUCGCGAGAGCAAGCGGACCUCAUAAAGUAUGUCGUAGUCCGGAUUGGAGUCUGCAACUCGACUCCAUGAAGUCGGAAUCGCUAGUAAUCGUGGAUCAGAAUGCCACGGUGAAUACGUUCCCGGGCCUUGUACACACCGCCCGUCACACCAUGGGAGUGGGUUGCA